rnacentral:misc_RNA from 1 species
GAUGAAGAACGUAGCGAAAUGCGAUAAGUAAUGUGAAUUGCAGAAUUCAGUGAAUCAUCGAAUCUUUGAACGCACCUUGCGCCCUUUGGCUAUUCCGAAGGGCAUGCCUGUUUGAGUAUCAUGAACACCUCAACUCUCAUGGCUUGCCAUGAAGAGCUUGGACUAUGGGGGUCUUGCUGGCCUGUGGUCGGCUCCUCUCAAAUGAAUCAGCUUGCCGGUGUUUGGUGGCGUCACAGGUGUGAUAACUAUCUACGCUUGUGGUGUUUUCCACCAGGUAACCUUCAGCAAUGGAGGUUCGCUGGGGCUCAUAAAAGGCUCUCCUCGGUGAGGACAGCUCUUUUUGAACGUUUGAUCUCAAAUCAGGUAGGACUACCCGCUGAACUUAAGCAUAUCAAUAAGCGGAGGA